GCUUCGAUAGCUCAGUGACAGAGCAAGUGGCCGACACCCAUGAGGUCACCGGAUCGAAACCGGCUUGGGGCA